GCUUCUCUUUUGCAGUGUGCUUCGUGGCUCUACUCAGCUCAGAAUCAGAAAAAAAUCUGUGAUUGCAAGCUAGCUGUCGAUAGCGUUACAGAUCAGUUAGCGUUUUCGACCCAAGACAUUUUUCAACGCAGCUUGACGCAACCGUAGAUUUACUUGUUCUUUCCCUCGACGGGUACGCGGGUCAGCAGAGACCAUCGAUUAUCCGCCAAGGUCCCCGCUACUCAGGCAGCAGACGGGCUGUGGAGUUCACCAGAACUUCUUGUAUCUGCAUCGAGCCUCGCAUCGAGUUCCACUGAAGGCUUGACAUUUCUCACUUUCCCAGCAAAGUGCGGCCUGAUAAUCCGCGCGCAGUAAGAAGCCUUGGCAGGUCUGCCCGCUAUUCUUUUCCUCUCUCCAGCGACGUAGCAAGCAAGCGAGACUGACAACAUCAUGGAGGUGGAAUCUUGGUGCACCGUGGAGGACACGCCGGCAUCUAGUUGGGCCAGAGCUCAGCGCAAGCAUAAUGACAAGGCCACCGACAGCAAGGUGUUCAGUAAGGAGUUGCAGCAGCCCACUACGGACCGGUCCUCGGGCUGGAUCAAUGCCACUCAUGAACCCCCACACAGGGAGAAGCGUCACUAUGCGGAUGGCAAUCGAACAAACUUGAAAUGAUCGCCGGACUCAGUGACACUUGACGUGAUGCCUGACUGAGUAUAUGAUUACCAUUCUGCUGUCCGUUUAUCAAAGACUUACUUCGAAGUACAAUGAAAAUCCAUCGCCAGCCACCUGCCUUAACUACAAGGAUAUCUUCUAAGUUCUCACCCAUGUGGCCCGGUGUAUGGGUGUUGUUUUUGAACGUUGAAGUCCUGAUCACAAGCCCAUAAAUAAAUCCUUUCCCUUAGCUGCACGGUGACCCCGACACAGUGGUAUGGACAUACUACAGAGUCGGCGGGCUGGGAGCCAUGAGUUCCAGAGUGCCCCAGGGCUGGGUGAACUGUUGUAGCUACCGUACACACACCUGACAUGUACAAGACAGUAUAACUAAGUGUCCUCCAAUCCUGCGAUUCCUGUUUUAUAGCAGAGCCACAAUAUUAUUGAGCCUGCAGUUGUGCUACUGGUGUCUUUUUUGUCCGACUUCAAUAUGUUCACCAUAUCCUUGAUACUAUUGUUAAUUUCUAGAUACAAGAAUCAUGGAUGUACAACAAAAAAGCAUCCCAAUGAUGCAGAUAGCUGUCGAGUUCUUCUGAAUAGACUUCCACAGGAGCCACAGACAUACUUGUCUGAUUGACAUCUAGAAGUCAGAUUGCAUUGCACUCCCAGUCUAUCACUUGAACUCACUGUGCAUGUCCAUUGCAUGCAUCUACCUGUAUUAGUCUUCUCUUGCAUACACUGCAUACACUGACGGUAUAAUUAUGUUGUAUCUUUCCAAUAGUCAAUGCA